GGUUAAGCGACUAAGCGUACACGGUGGAUGCCCUGGCAGUCAGAGGCGAUGAAGGACGUGCUAAUCUGCGAUAAGCGUCGGUAAGGUGAUAUGAACCGUUAUAACCGGCGAUUUCCGAAUGGGGAAACCCAGUGUGAUUCGUCACACUAUCAUUAACUGAAUCCAUAGGUUAAUGAGGCGAACCGGGGGAACUGAAACAUCUAAGUACCCCGAGGAAAAGAAAUCAACCGAGAUUCCCCCAGUAGCGGCGAGCGAACGGGGAGGAGCCCAGAGCCUGAAUCAGUGUGUGUGUUAGUGGAAGCGUCUGGAAAGGCGCGCGAUACAGGGUGACAGCCCCGUACACAAAAAUGCACAUAUUGUGAGCUCGAUGAGUAGGGCGGGACACGUGGUAUCCUGUCUGAAUAUGGGGGGACCAUCCUCCAAGGCUAAAUACUCCUGACUGACCGAUAGUGAACCAGUACCGUGAGGGAAAGGCGAAAAGAACCCCGGCGAGGGGAGUGAAAAAGAACCUGAAACCGUGUACGUACAAGCAGUGGGAGCACGCUUAGGCGUGUGACUGCGUACCUUUUGUAUAAUGGGUCAGCGACUUAUAUUCUGUAGCAAGGUUAACCGAAUAGGGGAGCCGAAGGGAAACCGAGUCUUAACUGGGCGUUAAGUUGCAGGGUAUAGACCCGAAACCCGGUGAUCUAGCCAUGGGCAGGUUGAAGGUUGGGUAACACUAACUGGAGGACCGAACCGACUAAUGUUGAAAAAUUAGCGGAUGACUUGUGGCUGGGGGUGAAAGGCCAAUCAAACCGGGAGAUAGCUGGUUCUCCCCGAAAGCUAUUUAGGUAGCGCCUCGUGAAUUCAUCUCCGGGGGUAGAGCACUGUUUCGGCAAGGGGUCAUCCCGACUUACCAACCCGAUGCAAACUGCGAAUACCGGAGAAUGUUAUCACGGGAGACACACGGCGGGUGCUAACGUCCGUCGUGAAGAGGGAAACAACCCAGACCGCCAGCUAAGGUCCCAAAGUCAUGGUUAAGUGGGAAACGAUGUGGGAAGGCCCAGACAGCCAGGAUGUUGGCUUAGAAGCAGCCAUCAUUUAAAGAAAGCGUAAUAGCUCACUGGUCGAGUCGGCCUGCGCGGAAGAUGUAACGGGGCUAAACCAUGCACCGAAGCUGCGGCAGCGACGCUGAUGCGUUGUUGGGUAGGGGAGCGUUCUGUAAGCCUGCGAAGGUGUGCUGUGAGGCAUGCUGGAGGUAUCAGAAGUGCGAAUGCUGACAUAAGUAACGAUAAAGCGGGUGAAAAGCCCGCUCGCCGGAAGACCAAGGGUUCCUGUCCAACGUUAAUCGGGGCAGGGUGAGUCGACCCCUAAGGCGAGGCCGAAAGGCGUAGUCGAUGGGAAACAGGUUAAUAUUCCUGUACUUGGUGUUACUGCGAAGGGGGACGGAGAAGGCUAUGUUGGCCGGGCGACGGUUGUCCCGGUUUAAGCGUGUAGGCUGGUUUUCCAGGCAAAUCCGGAAAAUCAAGGCUGAGGCGUGAUGACGAGGCACUACGGUGCUGAAGCAACAAAUGCCCUGCUUCCAGGAAAAGCCUCUAAGCAUCAGGUAACAUCAAAUCGUACCCCAAACCGACACAGGUGGUCAGGUAGAGAAUACCAAGGCGCUUGAGAGAACUCGGGUGAAGGAACUAGGCAAAAUGGUGCCGUAACUUCGGGAGAAGGCACGCUGAUAUGUAGGUGAAGUCCCUUGCGGAUGGAGCUGAAAUCAGUCGAAGAUACCAGCUGGCUGCAACUGUUUAUUAAAAACACAGCACUGUGCAAACACGAAAGUGGACGUAUACGGUGUGACGCCUGCCCGGUGCCGGAAGGUUAAUUGAUGGGGUUAGCGCAAGCGAAGCUCUUGAUCGAAGCCCCGGUAAACGGCGGCCGUAACUAUAACGGUCCUAAGGUAGCGAAAUUCCUUGUCGGGUAAGUUCCGACCUGCACGAAUGGCGUAAUGAUGGCCAGGCUGUCUCCACCCGAGACUCAGUGAAAUUGAACUCGCUGUGAAGAUGCAGUGUACCCGCGGCAAGACGGAAAGACCCCGUGAACCUUUACUAUAGCUUGACACUGAACAUUGAGCCUUGAUGUGUAGGAUAGGUGGGAGGCUUUGAAGUGUGGACGCCAGUCUGCAUGGAGCCGACCUUGAAAUACCACCCUUUAAUGUUUGAUGUUCUAACGUUGACCCGUAAUCCGGGUUGCGGACAGUGUCUGGUGGGUAGUUUGACUGGGGCGGUCUCCUCCUAAAGAGUAACGGAGGAGCACGAAGGUUGGCUAAUCCUGGUCGGACAUCAGGAGGUUAGUGCAAUGGCAUAAGCCAGCUUGACUGCGAGCGUGACGGCGCGAGCAGGUGCGAAAGCAGGUCAUAGUGAUCCGGUGGUUCUGAAUGGAAGGGCCAUCGCUCAACGGAUAAAAGGUACUCCGGGGAUAACAGGCUGAUACCGCCCAAGAGUUCAUAUCGACGGCGGUGUUUGGCACCUCGAUGUCGGCUCAUCACAUCCUGGGGCUGAAGUAGGUCCCAAGGGUAUGGCUGUUCGCCAUUUAAAGUGGUACGCGAGCUGGGUUUAGAACGUCGUGAGACAGUUCGGUCCCUAUCUGCCGUGGGCGCUGGAGAACUGAGGGGGGCUGCUCCUAGUACGAGAGGACCGGAGUGGACGCAUCACUGGUGUUCGGGUUGUCAUGCCAAUGGCACUGCCCGGUAGCUAAAUGCGGAAGAGAUAAGUGCUGAAAGCAUCUAAGCACGAAACUUGCCCCGAGAUGAGUUCUCCCUGACCCUUUAAGGGUCCUGAAGGAACGUUGAAGACGACGACGUUGAUAGGCCGGGUGUGUAAGCGCAGCGAUGCGUUGAGCUAACCGGUACUAAUGAACCGUGAGGCUUAACCUU
rnacentral:rRNA from 1 species